UAGUAGCAGAAAUGCAAGUCUUUCAAAUGCUUCUGGGAAGACUGUGUAAAGAAAUGGCUCUCCCUUGUUCAAAGACAUCAAACAUUUCCAUGUAAGAUGUCUUACUUCACCAGUAGUAAUAUGCUUCCAUCAUAGGAAAAUUGGCUGUCUACAUUUAAAAGAAAAAUGAAGACAUCAUUAAAACUUAUUAGAAACAAUAUAGCAAUUUUUAGCCUAAUGGUGCUAAGAGAGUGACAUGAAUGUCCUUGAUUACCCAGUCUUUGAAGGUGGAUGCAGGUCUUUUUAGUCCAUUUUAAUGGUCAAGAUUGGUUAGCUUCAAAAGAAAAAGAUUUGAGAUUUGCAAAAAAAAAAAAAAAAAAUUUGUUCACCAAUGACAUGUUUUUGAGACCCUUUUUUUGUAACCUUGACUAUUAAGUUGCCUAUGACUUCAUUUUUGUAGAAAAUGAGUUUCAGCAGGUGGAACUGAAAAUUACUGUUAGGAAAGAAUGAUUUCCAAUGAGGUCAGAAUUAGUACACAUUUAUGUUUUUAUUGUUUAUAUAUGUACUUCCUCCACUUCUUAUGAUCUGAAGUCAAAAUCUUCUCAUUGUAAGGUCACAAUUGUGACACAGUAACUAGUAAAAUGUUUAAAUCCUUUUUUCAGCAGCAAAACAUUGAACCUUUGCCCUGUGGAUUCUCAUUUAUUAAAGCAAAGAGAAAAGGAGUAUAAGAUAUAAAGUUUCAUGUGCAGAUCUUCCCACCUUAUGAAUUCUGUGUUGAAAUGAACCACUCUAAAACCCCAGGGAUUUGGCCAAACUCUUCUCCUGUCUGCUACCAACUUUGACCUUGUUUUCUACAAGACUUAAGAGGCUGAUCACCUCCAGUUUUACAUAUUGAAAAGAUUUGACUUCUUUUUCUUCUGGGGACCUCCCUAUGAUGCUAACUGAUGAUUUCCAGUUAUUUUACCUGCAAGUUAAAACUAAUUUAGAAAACACACAAGUUCAUGUGGCUUGAUGAGUAUAGACAUUAGGAAGGAAGCAACAGCUAGUCCUGUUCAAGGCAUCUUAUUGAGAGUUGCUUCAUGCCACCUGGACUUGGCCCUGUUCUGUGUUGUCAGAGAAAGAGCUUCCCAAAUUUUUGGCAGGCAUUUUAAUCCCCUUAUUCUGAAAUUUGCAUGUGUGCUUUUUUUUUUGAGACGGAAUCUUGCUCUGUCACCCAGGUGGAAAUGCAGUGUGCGAUCUCUG